AGUGAACGCUGGCGGUAGGCCUAACACAUGCAAGUCGAACGGCAGCACAGUAAGAGCUUGCUCUUACGGGUGGCGAGUGGCGGACGGGUGAGGAAUACAUCGGAAUCUACUUUUUCGUGGGGGAUAACGUAGGGAAACUUACGCUAAUACCGCAUACGACCUACGGGUGAAAGCAGGGGAUCUUCGGCCCUUGCGCGAUUGAAUGAGCCGAUGUCGGGUUAGCUAGUUGGCGGGGUAAAGGCCCACCAAGGCGACGAUCCGUAGCUGGUCUGAGAGGUUGAUCAGGCACAAUGGAACUGAGACACGGUCCAGACUCCUACGGGAGGCAGCAGUGGGGAAUAUUGGACAAUGGGCGGAAGCCUGAUCCAGCCAUACCGCGUGGGUGAAGAAGGCCUUUGGGUUGUAAAGCCCUUUUGUUGGGAAAGAAAAGCAGCAGGUUAAUACCCCGCUGUUCUGACGGUACCCAAAGAAUAAGCACCGGCUAACUUCGUG
rnacentral:rRNA from 1 species